rnacentral:lncRNA from 1 species
GUUCCAUGCUUAGGCAGAGAUGAGGUAUGGACGGUCCACAGUGGGCUCCUGGCUCCCUCUGUGACCUGGGAAGCAAAACUGUCCCGUCAGACUGCAGCCAUAGGCGGAGGUGAAUCGUCAGGCUGGGGUAAGCCGUUCUUUAUGGCUAGGAGCUAUGACCUGUACAGCCUGAUUCAGUUCCUCAUCACCUGAGGCUGUUACCUAACGGAGAUGUGGUAUCAUUUUAUCAUUGAAAUUAGAAAGAAGCCAAAAGACUACACUAUUAUCAGCUAUCAAACCAAGGGGCUGGCAUGGACAAGGAACUUAUCCACAGUCAAGCUGACACCCAGCCUCCAUGGGAUUCACUUAAAAAAUGUGAGCUCCAGGAAGGUGGAGUUUCACCUUUGUUACUGUCAAGUCUACAACAAGACCUGUUGCAGGAAAUGUUUAUCAUGGAAGAAACGAUGGAAGAACUAUGGGAGCCUGAAGAUAGGGGAGAGUGUUUUGAGACUUUGUCUUCUAUGAAGAGGCCUUGAUCUCAUCUACAAAGGUGAAGAAAUAUUCCCAAGAUCACAAGCUUAAUGGGUCAUCAGUUCAGAGCUAACAUGUAUUUUAUAUAAAGAAACAAAC